rnacentral:ncRNA from 1 species
CCCCGUGACUGACGGAAAGGUGGGACACCACCGGGGAGCGGGGAAAGCCUAAAACUGCCGUCCGUCUGGGCAGU